AUCCAGUUUUACUUAUUUUUUCUCGGAAUUAUUCAACAAGCAGCAGCUGUGUUCUGUACUUUAUGUAUUCACUUUGCAGUCGUUUUUGCAGUCUACAGUCGUUUUUAUUUUUGUGCGUUUCAAUUUUGGUCAAAAUAAAAUUACCGAUCUCGGUAUUUCAAUUCAUUUUUUGAAGACAAUUUGAAUUCAGACAGACGUAUAAUGUCCGCUAUUAGUGAAAGAGACGAGUCACAUGAACGUCGAUCGACUGAAGAAAGCCGGUAUGAUAAACGUAAUCAUUUGCCCGUGUGCAUCGAAAAAUGGUCGACAUGUCUAUUUGAAAAAUGCGAUUCAACUUCUAAUAUAAUUUGUGACAAAUGUAAGGUACACCUAUGCCUAAAUAAAUACAGGAACUGUUUCAAAGAGUACCAUAUGAAGGAUAAAUGAGCUGACGAAGGUCUAAUAAUAAGAAUUCUGUAUAAAAAAAUGUGAA